GACGAACGCUGGCGGCGUGCUUAACACAUGCAAGUCGAACGGGCCUUGUCCCCUUUUUUUUUGGGGGUGGGGUUAGUGGCGAACGGGUGAGUAACACGUGAGUAACCUGCCCCUCACUUCUGGAUAACCGCUUGAAAGGGUGGCUAAUACGGGGUGUUCUGGCCUGCUCGCAUGGGUGGGUUUGGAAAGAUUCGACCGGUUUUGGUUGUUUUGGUGGGGGAUGGGCUCGCGGCCUAUCAGCUUGUUGGUAGGGUGAUGGCCUGCCAAGGCUUUGACGGGUGGCCGGCCUGAGAGGGUGGGCGGUCACACUGGGACUGAGACACGGCCCAGACUCCUACGGGAGGCAGCAGUGGGGAAUAUUGCACAAUGGGCGCAAGCCUGAUGCAGCGACGCCGCGUGAGGGAUGGAGGCCUUCGGGUUGUGAACCUCUUUCGCCAGUGAAGAAGGUCCUGCUCUUUGUGGUGGGGUUGACGGUAGCUGGGUUAAUGAAGCGCCGGCUAACUACGUG
rnacentral:rRNA from 1 species